GAUGAAGAACGCAGCGAAAUGCGAUAACUAAUGUGAAUUGCAGAAUUCCGUGAAUCAUCGAGUCUUUGAACGCACAUUGCGCCCCCUGGUAUUCCGGGGGGCAUGCCUGUCCGAGCGUCAUUACAACCCUCAAGCCCGGCUUGUGUAAUGGGCGGCCGUCUCUCCCCCCGGGGGGAGACGCCCCCGAAACUCAGUGGGGAUGUCGCGAUACCGAAGCCUCAGCUAAUGGGUAAACCACAGCUGCAAUGGCCGCGGCCGGCGUCCGCCUUCCACGGUCCGUCCGCCUAGCGCGGGCGGCCUUCUCAAGGUUGACCUCGGAUCAGGUAGGGAUACCCGCUGAACUUAAGCAUAUCAAUAAGCGGAAGA
rnacentral:misc_RNA from 1 species